UACAGGCAUUUGUGACAAGUUCUCACUGGUUGGAGCCAUUGGUGCUGCAAAGGGUCCCAAACCUAAGCCUAAGGCUUCAACACCAUCUCCAGUUUCCAAAGCCUCCUUCCCAGACUCACUUUCCAUAAAAUGGGCAAAUAAUGUUCCAAAUUUUGCUUGUUCUUUAACCAUUGCUCUCUCUUUGGAAAGUGUAGCAUAUAUGCCAUGUGCACAGUUUUGUGAGACAAACAGCAAAGUAAUGUAACACUUUACAAUUAGCUGGAAUUAUUACAAGGCUCAUCCCUCAUAGUAAAUUAUGGUCAGCUGAAUUGUGCAGGAUACGUGCACCAUGUUGCACCAAAACACCACAGUGAAUGACUUUGUCCAGGCCUCCUAAUAACCACCAUCACACUCUUUGGUGUCACACUCCCUUUCACAGUGUAUGUUGAGGCCGGUCCCCUACUAGUCAUAGUCAUAACAGUGUAACCAGUGUGACAGAUAGUAAACAGCAAUGUGCACUGGGCUCGCAGGAUAACAGCUGGAACUUGUAGUGUGACAGAAGGUGAAGUAACAGAAUUGGCCGGGAUGGCAGGAAGUGGAUUGAUGUUCAUCCUCGAUGCCCUCCAGAAGAUUAAAGGCCCCACCCUAAGGAAGUGAUGUCAGAGUGAUGGAACAAUGAUAACACGUAUGGAAAUGAUACAGAAUGUUAAUCUAUUGGAAUAAAACAGAGACAAAAUCAAAUCCUGCAAAAUCUGAAAAGAAAAAGAGAAAGAAGACGUGCGCUCUCGUGUAAUAUGCUUUGGAUCCACCGUGAAUACGCCAGCACUUAACAGCGCUAAAAGAGG